CAUUUUUUAUAAAUCCUCCGACGAGAGCCGUGCCGAUGUCGGCUUGGGUUGUACCAUCUCGAAAUCCGGCUAUAACCAGGUCCACAUCUGCAUUGAUCUGUAUCGUAGGUUCAUGGAGUUGAAG
rnacentral:precursor_RNA from 14 species